rnacentral:lncRNA from 1 species
AAAAAAGCCUUAUGGUAAAAAGAAUAGAUUUUGCCUAGUCUCAACUUCAGGAGGUAGGUCCUCUUCAAGAGUUUAAUGGGAGGAUAAGAUGUGAAGAUUUGGAAGAUAUAGGGUUGUGGCCAAAUUCCAAUUCAUUAUCAAUGAGCCUGUCAAACCAAUACACACACCAAUACACAUCAGAUACAGUGUGAGGCAGCGAGAACUGCAGGUCCUUGAUUCAGGUCACAGAUUCUCCCUGAGGGAUAAUAGAAACAACUUCAUACCUGAUCAGAAAAAAAGCUAAAUAAUGACGACCAAUUCAUCAAGCACAGAGAGAGUCAUUAGGCAACUUCGCCAAUAACCCCACAAGACCAAAACCAAUUUUUGCUUUAAUUAGCUGAAAAAAUGUAAUCACAUCAUCAAAUGAACACCAAAAAAAAAAGUAGGAAGAUGGUGAAUCACCUCAUCAGAUGUCCAGUCUCUGGGGCACCCUUGCAGCUUCUCAGCAGUAACUGUAAACUUCCAUUUAGAACAAAUUGUUUAGCAGUUAAUAGAGCAUACUGGUGACUAACUCAUCUAAGGAGCAUAGUGACAAGCCCAGCUGCUCCAGGGGAACUUAAUAACUCCCUGGACAGUUUUGACUUAAAGGUUAAUGCAUUCAGCAUCCAACUUUGAGGUUACGGACAUGUAACCAUAAUUUUCUCAUAUUUAAAUUAUGGAGCAUCACCAAUAUACAUAGACUUCACUUGCAGAUUCAUUUGAGAAAGAUUACUAGGGCCAAAAUAAACCCCCAAACAAUCACUAAACCAUAGAAGCAAGCUGGUGGAAGAGGAAGAAUUUCCAUUCAGAAAAAGAGACACCUAACUGGGAAUCCCAACUCUAUCACCCACUUGCAGUGAACCUUGGGCAGUUCACUCAACUGACUCCAAACUAAGUCUUGAUUUCAUCAUUUGUAAACCUGGUUUUAAUAAGCACUGUUUUCUUGUGGUUAACUACAAAAGUGAUGGCAACUUUCUACCCCUCUCUGUAUUCACACUUUUUUUUGCAAUGCUGCUAGUGACGUUACUAGCAGCUCUAAGUCUGCCUCUCUGCCUUUGAAUUCAUGGUAGCCUUAUGCAUGGAUUUGCCAAUAGAAUACAGAAAAAGACACUUUAUGCCACUUCUAUGGCCAAACUUCAAGAGAUCUUGAGUACUUCUAGUUACCCUUCUAGAACGCUGAUACAACAAUGAGAAAAAACUUUGGCUACCCUGCUGGAUGUUGAGAGGCAAGUGUCACUGGCAUUCCACCAGCUGACAGCCAGAUAGCUAUCUGGCAGAUAUAUGGGGUGAAUUUAUAUGUUUUCAUCACUUAUUGCUGCAAACAAAUAAUAUGACAUUUAUAAAACACUUAAUGAUCUCUCACAUGUCUCUGUGGGUUGAAUGGUUUCAGGCUGGGCUCUUCUGCUCCAUAUAAUGUUGGCCGGAACUUCAGUUAUUUGGGAGCUCUGCUGGGAUGGCUCUCUCACUAUGUCUCAUGUCAGCUGUCUCAAUAGGGAAGACUUACAUGCUAGCGCACAGGAGUCUCUCUUCCCUCCUUUCUCCUCCUCUCUCCUCCUUUCGCCUCUGUGCCCUCUUCUCUUCUUGCUGCUCUUUCUUCCCCUUUCCAGCCUCCUUCUCCUUCUCUCUCUCUCUCUCCCCCUCCCUCUGUCUUUCUCAUCUCAAGUCCUCUCCAGAUUACCUUUCUGUUGUACUUCGUGCAAUCUUUCCUGCAUGACACCUGGACAUCUUACAUAGCAGCAGCUCAGGGUGCUCAAAAGGGCAAAAGUCAAAGCUUUCAGACUUUCUUAAGGCUUAGAUCCCAUAUUAGCACUGAGAAGCACUCAAAUUAACUUCUGCUUUCUCUGUAUUCUGUCGGUAAAGCAAGUCACAAGAUCAGCCCAGGUUCACUGUGAGAGGGGGCUACAGGAAGGCAUGAGUAUCAGAAAACAUAGUUCUUCAGGCUCUGUCUUUGGAGACUAGCUGCCACAUCAUUUUAGACUAGUCAGCUCCACCCUAUUCACCAGCUAACCUGAGAUGCAUAAAUCAGUCCAACUAAGACCAGUAAGACUGAGCCAGAUUAGAACUGUCCAGUUGAGCUCAGCCAAAUACGCUGACCCAAAGAAUAAUGGACUGAAUAUAUGGUGGUUGUAGUGCAGCAAUUGCUAACCAAUAUGCUCUUCUCGUUGUAUCAAAGUAUUUAGAAUAAAAAUAUAAGGAAAUACAAGCAGUGAAAACCCCCAGAGCUAGUCUUUCACAUAUUGGACAAUUGUUUUUUAAUAUUAACUAUAAUUUUACGAGCAUUUACUUGAACAGUCAUUGAAGAGAGUAAAUAUUUAAUAUAAAAAUUCUAAAUGGGGGGGAAUUCUACCUAAGGCAACGUGGAAGAACUUCAUUUAGCAUCAGAUCACAAUAUCAGUGAUCAUAGGAUCCCGUGAUAGAUUACUCUCCAGCAGUAGAAAUCACUACCUGGUCAAUUUACUGAUGAUUUCUUAUGUGCAAGAAGCUAUGGAUUGACCGCCAUUCGUCCUGAAAACAGCUCUAAGCAUUGAUGGCUCCCAGGGUCUACAGAACAGAUUCCAAACUCCUCAGCUAAUAUUUUAUACCUUUGAAUGCCUGGUCAUAACUUAAGUUCAAAACUCUUUUUUUCUGGCACUUUUUGUGGGGCUUGUGCCAAAACAAAACUCUAUUCACUGGCGUUCCCUACCCCUCGGUCAUGAGUCAACAACUUUUAUUGAAGAUCUGCCCUUGACACUGUAUCCCAGGCUGCAAAUGCAGAGGUGAACAAAGAAGUCAAGAUCUUCCAAAAAAAAAAAAAGCAGAGUUCCUGUCAUGGCACAGCGGAAAAGAAGCUGACUAGGAACCAUGAGGUUUCGAGUUCGAUCCCUGUGCCUUGCUCAGUGGGUUAAGGAUCUGGCAUUGCUGUGAGAUGUGGUGUAGGUCACAGACACUGCUUGGGUCCCAGAUUGCGGGGGCUGUGGCAUAGGCCGGCAGCUGCAGCUCCAAUUCAGCCCCUAUCCUGGAAACUUCCACAUGCUGCAGGUUUGGCUCUAAAAAGCCAAAAAAAAAAAAGCAAAAGAAAAGAGUUGAAACAUUUGGGGAACUCUUUGACAUUGGAGUUGCAAUGUCUUUGUCCAUGAAAUGAGUUUACGUUUCAGUUUCCUUAUCUAUGAAAUGAAUGUGUUGGCAUCCCCUUUAAUUGUUUUGGAGAGACCUGAGUGGAAUAAUGCACUUUAAUGUAAAAGGAUCUCGCAGAGGGAAUGUGCAGAAUAGUUGUUGAAUAAACAACACUUUCCCCAAAAGAAAGAGCAUGUGCAUCUGACAUCUUUCAGGCUGCAUGGGAAUCCUCGAAGGACAUGGCCACGUGUCUUCCUCAGGAAAUCCCAGCAUGCCGGCGCCUCUGAACUUCAGCAGCAUCCCUUGACUGUCCAGUUCAGGUUACAAUGCUUUUCAGCGCCACCGUCCCAACCAUCUCUUUGAAAGACGGUCUUUACUUACCUCGGAAAUGCCCUGCGUUCCUCGGGAGCUGUCAGCCCCUCAGGUUUCUGCUUCAGUGGUUAGUCACCAGAGCUGCUUAGAGAUCAUCCUUCUCUGAGCUCAUGAGUCUUCCUGGUGGCCAGGCUGAGCCUUCCUGGUGGCCAGGCUGAGCAGAGCUCUGGGGUAGGGUGUGCAGGAAGAAGCUCACCCUCUCGCCCUGCUCAGGGUUUCCCUUGAACUCUUGGCUGUAAAGUACAACUGUUUGUGCCUAGAGUUUCACCAGACUUUAGAGGUACUCGGGUCUACUGUGCACAGGAGAACGUUACCACGUCAGUGCCUCCUAUCUUCAUGGCCCCUGCCUUUCCUAGAGAUCCUGGAGAAAAAUCCAAACAGUAUGCUCAGGCAAUAUUCUUCGAGUACAACAACAAGCGUAUUCUCUUGAAUUUAUGCGAAGAGAACCACAUGGCUUCCCCUUGCAUGAUCUCUGCAAACAGCCAGAUUCAGAAACCUCUUGUGCACUUAUUAGAACACUCCGUAUGCAUGUGCUUCCAAUAAAUAUUGGCUAAUCGAAUGAAUGAACUCGUAAAGCAAAACUCUGUGUACAUACACAUCACAGACGCGUGAUAAAUAUUUAUUAAAAUACUAGCAGGAACACUUACCAGUCUUUAAGGUCAUUUCCAGUAUUAAAAGUUUGCCAAUUACGAUCUUCAUUCUCAGGAACCCUUCUAGUACAGGUCUGGGUUCUCAAUUAAGAACUGCAUAAGUUUGGUUGUGGGUUGCUCUCUUGUGCACUGUUUGAUUUCAGCAGCAUACCUGCCCUCUACCUGCUAGAUACCAAGAGCACGAAUCCAACCCAAGUUUUGACAACCAAAAAUCCCUCUAGAGCGUGACAGACAUUUAGGAGCCCUGAAAUGAAGAGCUGGAAAUCUAGACUUAAAACCAUGCCCGAGGCACCAACUUCAGUGAUUUGGAGGAAAUCACCCUCCUUUUAUAAAAUGGGUGUUAUAGAGUUAUUGUGAAGGUUAGAUAAAACCUGUGAAAUUCUCUAGAACAUGGUAGGUUGUAAAUACAUGUCAGUGACCUUAACUUAUAACUAAUGUAGAUGGAAUAUUAAGAAAACAAGACAAUAUAAGAUUUAAACCACGUAGGAGCCAAAGUGCUGUCUACCAUUGUUUUUACACUCAGAAGACUCGAUGUGGUGUUUUCUACGUAACAGACACUUGAUAAAUGCUAUUGAAUGGAACUGUUAGGCUUGGUAAUAGAAGAAUUUCAAAGGUACAGGAAUGAACUAGUUGGAUCUCAGAGAUACCUAAAAUGCUGAAAUAAACUGAGUGUGAAUAAAGAAACUAUAUGUUUGUGAAAAGACCUCAAGAUUCACUUAUUCAAACAUGGUUUGAUCCUUGGCUAUGCCUCUUCUAUAACAACUUCUGUGGUCUCAGUUUUGUCAUUGUAAGUGGAAAUGAUAAUAUCUAUUAUGAAGAGUCAUUGAGACGACCACAUAUAUGUGGGUUUAAAAAAUUAUGGUGUAAGGCAGUCAUGCUACAAAUAAUAAUGGCUCCUGCUAUUAAUAUGCAUUCCUAUUUAAACUGUUAUUUUUUAAAUGCUGUUGAAUAUUCAUCAUCUCCUGAAUUCUGUUUUUAAGGGCACUUGAAAGUUAGAACUCCCUCAAGAAAUCCACCCCGUGACACUCAUUUAUGAAAGCUGUUGGCCUCAGAUAAUCAAUUAGAACCUAUCAAACAUUUUUAGCACUGGGAUCCAGGCACAUCCAUCAAGUGAAAGGCAGGAGAGUGACAAGCUUUCAAGGAAGGUUGGUGAAAGAUUUAUGAUUCAUGGCAGCUACUUGCACAGCAGUUUCAGCAACAGGUACCCUGUAUUAGGACGUGGCCCUGCCCUUCAAGGGACAUGGGAUUUGCUUUCAGAGGUCGAUCUAAUUACCUUCUUAGACUCAUUUGAAAAGAAAGAAGGUAUUAACCUUAUGAUUUCAUCAGGACUAGACUUCUUCCCUCAGAUUAUUUUAGUGGACUUGUAGGUGAACAGUCCCAGCUAGAAAUACAAAGCCUUUUGGAAAAUGAAUAGCAAAAGGCCCCUUGAGGAUGCAUGAAGCUGGAAUAUGAAGCUUUCCAUGUGAACUCUUGGCUCUACAGAAGCUGGUGACAACUGAGACUGUCAAGGAAGACCUGUGACCCCUGGAUGGGUUUCUCUCAGGUCUCAGAAGAGGGGAGAUUUUUCUCUAGGAGAAGCAUAGAGGCAUAUCAGUCUUAGACCUCUUAGUGGUACAUAAUUCUCAAAGUUGUUAUUUGGAGGGUGUGUGUAUAUGUGUGAGAGAGAGAGGAGAGGAGGGGAGGGGAGGGGACAGGAAAGGAAGGGAAGGGAAGAGAGAGAAGAGAAGAGAAGGGAAAAGAGAAAGGGGGGGGAGUGUCCUUCAAGCUGUAGUGUUCCAUAUGUAAGUGAGUACAGAUGUGGCUGCCCCGAGGCUCCGAGAUAAGUGCAAGCACUGCAGAAAAGCCAGAGGCUUAGAGUCAAGUCAAUCUGAAUCAGAAGUCCAUUUCUAUUGCUUACCAGCAGUGUGGCCUGAAGGUAGGUAAGCUCUCGGAACGGAUUUCAUCACGUAUAAAAUGAAGAUAAUAAUAACUACCAAGAGGAGUUGCUUAGACUUGACCCUCAUGCUGGCAAGGAUGCAUAUGAGACGGUACUCAAAAGGCAUUAGUCGAAGAAGCUUCAAGCUGCUUCCUGGCCUAGAAGGGAAGAUGAGCCUGGAUCGUCAGCUGUUACAUCUCUUUGUUAAACAUAAGAUGAAACUAUCCCCAUGGCCCAGGGAAAGUAUAUAAGUGAGUUAUUUGUGCUUGACAAAAUCUGUGCCUUCCCAAUAGCAUUUUCAUAUUCUCACCCAUUCUCUGGAGUAAAUAUAGGGCUUAGAAAUUUUUUUUUUAAAAAAUCCUGGGAGUAGGGAAAAUGGGAAUCUGCCUCUUCUUUUUAAAGUUUCAACAUGAU